rnacentral:lncRNA from 13 species
AAUCAUUAUUUUUCUGCACAUAUUUUUCUGUGUCUAUCUCAAAGGAAUCAGCCACUUAAUUUUCUAAUUAAGAUAAUUCCCUUGUUGUAAGUCAAAGGUGGAGACCAGACUCUUCCUUUAAGGAAAAUUGAAAGGAAGUCUCAGUUAAGGGUCUAAACCACCUAUAUCUGUUCCAAUAGUACCCUACGAUUGUCUCAAACUUGUGAACAAGUGUCACAAGUUGGAAGAGAAAAACUGUUCCAGUGAUACCUUAUAUUAAUCAUACCACAAAGUGUGUGCUGUCCAUGCCACUCCUGUAUGUAAUCUGCAGGCUGCUGCCAUCAUUAUUUAAAGGAGGAGGAAGAAAUAAUUUUGAGGAGUUGUAGAUGACAAAGUGUAAUUGUUUUUCAGCCUAAGUGAAAGUGCUCGCCAGCUUGAUAAUACUUGUCCUGGGCAUCUUCAUCGUAUUUAUGUAUACAGCAGGUGAGUGUUUUUACUCCAUAAAGAAAAUGUAAUUCUAUUGACUUUGCCAAAAUUGAAUUAGUACCAUAUAUAACCUGAUUUCAAGCUUAUAGGGGCUUUCACAGAUAUUGAAUUUUUUUUUCUGUUUUUUUUUUUCUCCAGAAAUAUCUGUGCUGCUGGCCCAGGGAAUACAGUAUGAAGAAAGUGUAUGCUCCAGGAAAGGCAAGAGACAGAGUGAAGGAGGCAGAGGUCCCUAUUUACCAUCCCCAGUUGCUUGCUGAGCUUUUAUACUGAAUGACUCAAUAUGGUACAGAUGAUGAAGUAGUUUCUAAGAAAAAAAUUAUCUAUUGUGCACUAAUGUAGUUUUCAAGGAAAAUCCCUUCUGAAUCAUCACAAAUGUUCUGUAAUAGUUAUUAGAGGACCUAUUUUGCAUCCAUAAAUAGUUUCUUUUAUACUUAACUUCAAACCAAGUAUCUUUCCGGCUGGAAUUAAAGUGUUGCUUUGUCAGACCAUUUGUUGUUGCAGUAGCUGGUUGAUUACAGAUGUACAUCUUUUUUUUUCUGGUCUUUUUAGAGGGCAAAUCACUAUGGUAACCACAUUACAGAAAAUUGCUUGUUCUCCUUGAAAUACCCUUCAGAAAAAGGUCAUUUGUUAUUAACAUUUUCUGACUAAAUCCAAAAUGUUAACAUCAUCAAGAAUAUU